CCUUGAUAUGUGCUGCUGCUCACCAGGUCUCACACUGCGUGACUGGAAAUGAUUCUAAAAUUAGCCCUGGUGUUUCUUACAAGUUCUCAGCCUCCACCCUGUGAUGUGCUGGCUCCACAUGCAUGGCUCUGCUUGCAGGAGCAGGUUUAAGUUCUUUGUAGAAACGCUGCAGGAAAUGUGAAUCCGACCGACACGUGAUGCUUCCCUAGAUUCUUUCCGUCGGCCCGAACCCACGCUCUGCCUGCCCAGCAGUUGGGCCGUGUUCGGUGGGACCCUUCCAGCCAUUCCGUAGCUGUGAGAGGAAUCACCCAGGCUGCGCAGUCAGGCACGGGCUUUUUCUUUUGAGCCUGGUACCCACACAUCAGGAUUUUCCAGAAAAUGAGCAGUAAGUUAUUUAAAGCAGUUGCCCUGCUCGUGGAACGUGUUUUGAGCGGAGGGGGAGAAAAAGUGAGUCCUUAGAGCGUGCUCAAACUAUCAAUGAAACUGAAGGAGCCUUUAAUUGGAAGCUUCGGGUUAACGAGGAACUACAGUUGAGCCUCAGCAAAUGGGUGGGUGCCUGUAAUUGUAAUACAGCUGUGACCACGCUGAGAAUAAAUGGCAGUGGAAAAAUCUCUGGCUGCAUUUUUAGUAUUCAAUGUUAGGAGUUUAUGAGAAAAGAAUAAAAGAUCAAGUACUUGUA